rnacentral:rRNA from 1 species
GAUGAACGCUGGCGGCGUGCCUAAUACAUGCAAGUCGAGCGAACAGACGAGGAGCUUGCUCCUCUGACGUUAGCGGUUGACGGGUGAGUAACACGUGGAUAACCUACCUAUAAGACUGGGAUAACUUCGGGAAACCGGAGCUAAUACCGGAUAACAUGUUGAACCGCAUGGUUCAACAGUGAAAGACGGUCUUGCUGUCUCUUAUAGAUGGAUCCGCGCCGCAUUAGCUAGUUGGUAAGGUAACGGCUUACAAAGUCAACGAUGCGUACACGACCUGAGAGGGUGAUCGGCCACAGUGGAACUGAGACACGGUCCAGACUCCUACGGGAGGCAGCAGUAGGGAAUCUUACGCAAUGGGCGAAAGCCUGACGGAGCAACGCCGCGUGGGUGAAGAAGGUCUUCGGAUCGUAAAACUCUGUUAUUAGGGAAGAACAAAUGUGUAAGUAACUAUGCACGUCUUGACGGUACCUAAUCAGAAAGCCACGGCUAACUACGUGCCAGCCGCCGCCGUAA